GUCCACUGGUACGCACCAGUAGUAGGUGCAGUCAGAUUAUAGCCUCUCCCUCGUGGUUCCGGCGCUCAGUUAGUGAGUCAGAGCACACGCUCAGAGAUUCUCAGCCUGCGCUUUGACAACAUUGAAAGUCAGAGCUGUGAAGGAGCGGGUAUGGCAAAGAGCUAGUGAUUAGCAUAACAUCAAUAUCUGUUAUAAAACCAGGAAAAGGUGGGCACCAUUGCACUGAUUUGGUGGUGCAAUGGGCCACUUGACUGAUUUUGCCCCCCAGGCCUAAGGCUGCCAGCCCUCCCCUGCCCGUGUAUAAGCUUUAUGGUGUUUUGGAAAGUUACAGACUCAAAUAUAUUGUUUGCCCAUUUCAGUUUUUACACAUUGAAAUUUGCCAGAUUGGUUUGCUGGGCCUAUGUUGCCUCGGAGACCGUAUUGGCAGACCAAGAAUGAGAAUUACCUGCAUCUUAGCAUACCAUUUACCAUUUGCACAAGUAGACAAGGCAGGGUAGUCAAAAUGGGGUAUGUCCAUUUUUUUGUAGUAGAAACUUAGUCAAAAAUCCUGGCUAAAUGUAGUGUUUAUAUUUGUUUUUUGCAUUAUGCAAAACACAAACUGCACUUUCACUGAUAUUAUUGUCAAUGUUUUACUGCUCUAACAUUCAUUUGUGCUCAACGAUGUGAGGGGAAUUUGUGAAGGAGAGGGUUUGCCACAAACACGUUUGACAUCUGAUUCCAGAGAGGGUAGAUUGGGG